rnacentral:rRNA from 1 species
CCUACGGGAGGCAGCAGUGGGGAAUAUUGGGCAAUGGAGGAAACUCUGACCCAGCGACGCCGCGUGCGGGAUGAAGGCCUUCGGGUUGUAAACCGCUUUCAGCAGGGAAGAAGCGAAAGUGACGGUACCUGCAGAAGAAGCACCGGCUAACUAUGUGCCAGCAGCCGCGGUAAUACAUAGGGUGCAAGCGUUGUCCGGAAUUAUUGGGCGUAAAGAGCUCGUAGGUGGUUCGUCACGUCGGAUGUGAAAAUCUGGGGCUUAACCCCAGACCUGCAUUCGAUACGGGCGAGCUUGAGUAUGGUAGGGGAGUCUGGAAUUCCUGGUGUAGCGGUGGAAUGCGCAGAUAUCAGGAGGAACACCAAUGGCGAAGGCAGGACUCUGGGCCAUUACUGACACUGAGGAGCGAAAGCGUGGGGAGCGAACAGGAUUAGAUACCCUGGUAGUCCACGCCGUAAACGGUGGGCACUAGUUGUGGGGACCUUCCACGGUCUCUGCGACGCNGCACGCAUAGUGCCCGCCGUCGGGAGGUACGAGCGCGAGAAGUUAAACUUAACUUAAAUUAGUAAGUUAGUUACGGCGUUGAGACGNGCCGACGGACGACGACGAGGGAGGAGG